GGCGACCAGCGCUUACACAUGACAGUCGAGGGGAACGGCAUUGAGUGCUUGCACUGAAUGGACGUCGACCGGCGCACGGGUGAGUAACGCGUAUCCAACCUUCCCAUUACUGUGGGAUAACCUGCCGAAAGGCAGACUAAUACCUCAUAGUCUUCGAUGACGGCAUCAGAUUUGAAGUAAAGAUUUAUCGGUAAUGGAUGGGGAUGCGUCUGAUUAGCUUGUUGGCGGGGUAACGGCCCACCAAGGCAACGAUCAGUAGGGGUUCUGAGAGGAAGGUCCCCCACAUUGGAACUGAGACACGGUCCAAACUCCUACGGGAGGCAGCAGUGAGGAAUAUUGGUCAAUGGACGGAAGUCUGAACCAGCCAAGUAGCGUGCAGGAAGACGGCCCUAUGGGUUGUAAACUGCUUUUGUAUGGGGAUAAAGUCAAUCACGUGUGAUUGUUUGCAGGUACCAUACGAAUAAGGACCGGCUAAUUCCGUGCCAGCAGCCGCGGUAAUACGGAAGGUCCGGGCGUUAUCCGGAUUUAUUGGGUUUAAAGGGAGCGUAGGCCGGAGAUUAAGUGUGUUGUGAAAUGUAGACGCUCAACGUCUGACUUGCAGCGCAUACUGGUUUCCUUGAGUACGCACAACGUUGGCGGAAUUCGUCGUGUAGCGGUGAAAUGCUUAGAUAUGACGAAGAACUCCGAUUGCGAAGGCAGCUGACGGGAGCGCAACUGACGCUUAAGCUCGAAGGGUGCGGGUAUCGAACAGGAUUAGAUACCCUGGUAGUCCGCACAGUAAACGAUGGAUGCCCGCUGUUGGUACCUGGUAUCAGCGGCUAAGCGAAAGCAUUAAGCAUCCCACCUGGGGAGUACGCCGGCAACGGUGAAACUCAAAGGAAUUGACGGA
rnacentral:rRNA from 1 species